ACCCUCCUGGAGACACUUCAAGGCUGC
rnacentral:piRNA from 1 species